rnacentral:lncRNA from 1 species
CUUUCAGUCUUGAUGCAUAAAUAAAUAUAUUUUACAUUAUAUAUACAUUCCAUAUUUAAUCAUUCAUUAUACUUCAUUACCGGCAGUUUGAUAAAGACAUGAAGAUGGGAUCCCGCACAUUGGUUCUGAUCAUGUUUUUAGGUGCCCUCUGUGUUGCACAGGCACUGAGGUGCAACUACUGCCUGAAGAUUGACGAAGACAAUCCCACCUGUGAUACGAUAGAGGAGAAAGAAUGCAGCAGUGGUUUUGAUAAGUGCAUUAAGAUCAAAAUGCAUCCUCCAGCCUACGGUGAGGUGCGCAGAUGUGCAAAGACUAAUGAGUGUGAUGCUCAGGUGCCUCCUCAGGUGGAGAAAGUGUGCUGCAACACAGACCUCUGCAACUGAUCUGCUCCAUCAGCCAAAUGUAUUUUUUCAAUAUGGUCUGUGAUAAUCUUACGGUACUUAAAAUUCUCAAAACAUACAGCAUAAUAUCAUUGUUAUUAAUUGAUUUUAAUUUAAUAUAUAGGUAAAUAAUAAUAUAAAGAAAUAAAAUCUGGCCAGCAAAACGAGAAACAAUGAUGAUUCUUUGUUUUCUAAAACAUUGUAUUUUUUUUGUAUGAGUUUUGAAAUGUACAACAAUUAAACUCUAAAACAAAACAGCUCAGUCAGCAUUCACACAAAAAAUGACUUCUCACCCAGACCAAACAACGCAAAAAUGCAGACACAGAAACACCACACAGUGCUAAAAAACAUUUCCUUGACAAAUUUUUCUUCUUGCUUUGUUUGCAAAGUUACAUUUUAACUUACAAUUCCAAUCAAACUGAAUAAAAAUAGAGUCAAUUCAGUUCCUAAUAUUCAUCUGUAUGGCAA